rnacentral:rRNA from 1 species
AAAUUGAAGAGUUUGAUCAUGGCUCAGAUUGAACGCUGGCGGCAGGCCUAACACAUGCAAGUCGAACGGUAACAGGAAGCAGCUUGCUGCUUCGCUGACGAGUGGCGGACGGGUGAGUAAUGUCUGGGAAACUGCCUGAUGGAGGGGGAUAACUACUGGAAAACGGUGGGCUAAUACCGCAUAAACGUCGCAAGAACC